UACCACAGCUUUAUCACCAAGCAGCACAAGACCUGUUACUCACUGAAGCUAAGCAGGGCUGAGCCUGGUCAGUACCGGAUGGGCAAUGACAUGGUGAAAACUAGAUUGCUGUUAGAA
rnacentral:rRNA from 1 species